rnacentral:rRNA from 1 species
UACGAGUGGUGCAAGCGUUAUUCGGAAUCAUUGGGCGUAAAGGGUGUGUAGACGGCAUAUUAAGUCAAUUGUUUAAUUCUCCGGCCUAACCGGAGUCCAGCGGUAGAUACUGGUAUGCUAGAGGGUGGAAGAGAGAAGUGGAAUUCUCGGAGUAGCGGUAAAAUGCGUAGAUCUCGAGAGGAACACCAAUGGCGAAGGCAGCUUCUUGGUCCACACCUGACGUUGAGACACGAAAGCGUGGGGAGCAAACAGG